rnacentral:rRNA from 1 species
UUCGGCAAUGGACGGAAGUCUGACCGAGCAACGCCGCGUGAGUGAAGAAGGUUUUCGGAUCGUAAAGCUCUGUUGUAAGAGAAGAACGAGUGUGAGAGUGGAAAGUUCACACUGUGACGGUAUCUUACCAGAAAGGGACGGCUAACUACGUGCCAGCAGCCGCGGUAAUACGUAGGUCCCGAGCGUUGUCCGGAUUUAUUGGGCGUAAAGCGAGCGCAGGCGGUUAGAUAAGUCUGAAGUUAAAGGCUGUGGCUUAACCAUAGUACGCUUUGGAAACUGUUUAACUUGAGUGCAAGAGGGGAGAGUGGAAUUCCAUGUGUAGCGGUGAAAUGCGUAGAUAUAUGGAGGAACACCGGUGGCGAAAGCGGCUCUCUGGCUUGUAACUGACGCUGAGGCUCGAAAGCGUGGGGAGCAAACAGGAUUAGAUACCCUGGUAGUCCACGCCGUAAACGAUGAGUGCUAGGUGUUAGACCCUUUCCGGGGUUUAGUGCCGUAGCUAACGCAUUAAGCACUCCGCCUGGGGAGUACGACCGCAAGGUUGAAACUCAAAGGAAUUGACGGGGGCCCGCACAAG